CACCCUUCCUUCGGUCUCCUUCUCCUCCCGGAUUCUGAAGAAAGGUAUUGCUGAGAAGCAAACAUGAGUUGACGAUAAAAAAUGAGCUGCAGACACAAGAUGUGGCAUUCGAUGGCGUAGGCUGUGGGAAUGGCAACAUCUGAACCGGUUGCCAUGAGGCCAAUGGAAAGAACUGUCGUGUGACUGAAACUUUGACGAAAGAACUCAAGUUUCUGACCGCGUGCCAAGACAGGAUCCUAGAUUCUCAAGUCUGGCUUGGCUGUAAAUCUGGGGCCCAGUAGAUGCAGAACAAGGCUCUGGUGUGGCUAGAGGAUGACUGAAGUGAGUUACACAAGGAGCAGUGAAAACUGGCACGAAGGAUUGGAACUAAUGUACAGCUGUCCCUGUCAGGUGGCAAGUGAAUUCACAACUACAACCUCCAGUGCAGUUAAGAACAAGAAAUGAUACGACAUCAGAAGAUGACACCAUGGGAGACCAGUCUUUAACUUCAGAUUUGUAUCUUGUGUGUUUCUGAGUAACAAUGUCAAUAAAAUUAGUGGAAUUA